GCAAAGUCAUGCAAGUUUUAAGAGUCGUCUGAAUGUCUCCUGAAAAUCAUGGGCCAGUAAUUAAAGUUCAUUGAUGGAUAAUUUUAUUCAUGACUAUAUGGUGUUAUGAUCAAAUUUAUAUCCCAUUCCCUCACUUUCAAUUCCUCCUAUUUGCCUCAACUUUUUCUCCCUAAUUUCAUAUGUUCUCUCUUCAACUCACCCAACCCACUUAGAGUGGCUAGUGUGUGCCUGAGUGUGGGACCAUCUACUGGAACAUAGGGAGCCUACUAGUGACCAUAUCCAAAAAACAAAACAACAACAACAACAACAACAACAACAAAAACGCAAUCUCCUUUCCCCAGCAGCAACCUUGGAAGGUGUUAAAGAUUUCGGCGAUGCACCAUGGUGAGAAAGAACGAGAGCUGUAGAGAAAGAAGAACGAGAAUAUCCCAGAUGAGAGGAAUGGCAUCUCCAGGCUGCCUUUCCUAUCACCAGCAAGGCCAGUCAUCAUUUUCUCCAACUGUCUUUGAGCUGUGUAAAAGCCCCAGUGCAGCACUGUCCUGACUGAAUAUAAAACAUUCUUCCAAACGGUUUGUGUGUUGAAGGCGUGGUCUCCAGAUGUAGUGUUGCCGCAUCACCGGG
rnacentral:lncRNA from 1 species